AUGAGGAGCUGCCUGAUGAAAGCCAGGCUGUGCUCGUCUCGUCUCUGGGCUCCGUGUGUUGGUGUGGUCCCUCCGUCAGUGGUGAGUCUCCUCCUGUCAUUCAGGUCACUGCUCUGGGUUUAUUCUGGUCCCCUGUGCUGCAGAGAUGAGGACGCACCGCUCGCUGGACUCGUGUUUAACGGCAGCCAAAGAGAGACGUGUAGCCCAAUGGUCAGGAAGCAGAAUUACUCCGACAGUCAGCGGCACACUGAGACUGAGACCGGCCACCGCUGGAAAAGCAUCUCUCUGUUCUCAGGGUCACGUCUGUGUUUUAAUUUUAGUGUUAGGUGUAAGUGAGCGAGACUCGUCUGGGCUCGUGUUGGGCUUCUUCAUCACGUGUCAUUCGUUCAGACCCUGCACCAAUCAGAGCUCUCGUUCAUUCAUGCGCUGAUGGACUGUGUGGAUUUAAUCGUGCAGCUCAAACACUGCUAGCGCAGAUAUUAGUUUCCUGCUUCACUGAAAGCCAUAUUUAGUGCUGAUCACGGCCAAAGCCUGUCGCUCAUGCCUGCAGUCGGUCUGUAGAGGGACACAUCAUGCACUUUACGGUCCUGAGGGAUUAUGAGACAGAUGCUUCUACACUACUUGAUGAAAUCAUGUCGAACUCCACAUUAAAGCUUCAUUUGAAGCCGUGUGCCUUCUCACAGAGUUCCACUGAUGACACGUGCCUUGUCUUUUCCCAGAGUUUUAUGUAUUUAAAUGACGUACAUAUUAAAAUGUGCUUUGCGUUGGUUUUGCCUGGGUUCUGUUUGCUUCUGGGUUGUUUGAGAAUGUCUCUCCGUGUGUUUUGUGCUUGAUGAAUUGAUCAGGUUUUUACUCAGCCAAAGGAUUGUAGAAAGGAUACGGGAAGAAGAUUUAGGGGAUACAGCGCUGCUCUCGCCGUCGACUGUGAUUUAAACUCCAUUGAACUCUACUGUCUUCAUGUUUACAGCAAUAUCACUAACGUUUGUUUCUGUCUCAGUUGCUUCUGAUCAUUCGUUUACAGUUUGUGCUUCUCGAGAUGAUGGUUCUAACAACAACGUAUGCAAAUAUAGCACUGAUGUUCAGAGGAUCGUGGAUGGACUGAGGGAUAUUUUUGGUGGUUAGGGUUAUCCAAUGUUCUGAUCAUUAGUCAUGUAUUUAAUUAAAGAGGCUUCUUUGUGUCAGGAAACGGUCAGCGGAGAUCUGGUGUGAGUCUCUGUAUGUAGUUGAUGAAUACAAUGUGAAGUUAAUUUUGUACCUCACUGUCACUUUCUGUUAAAGAUCAAAGAUCUAACGCUGAGAUGUGAGAGGAAUCAGAGCCCUGGGCUUCAAAUAAACAUUUCAUUCAAUUUCA
ensembl:lncRNA